rnacentral:rRNA from 1 species
GUACACACCGCCGUCGCUCCUACCGAUACCGGGUGUUGUACUGAACUAUUAGACCACUUGUGGAAAGAUAUGUAAAGCUUAACACCUAGAGGAAGGAGAAGUCGUAACAAGGUUUCCGUAGGUGAACCUGCAGAAGGAUCA